rnacentral:piRNA from 1 species
UGCCAAGGUAGUAAUGGCUCACACACUCC